UAUUACAAAUUUGGGAAACGAAUAAUAAUAAUAAUAAUAAUAAUAAUAAUAAUAAUAAUAAUAAUAAAACAAAGGAUUGACAUAAAUAAGAUUAAACAUUAUAAUAUAAUUGAAAAGGAGUAAUAAUUAUGGAGGGCCUUUGGAUCAAUAAUUAAUAGUUUAGGGGAGACUUUUCAAAAACAAAAUUAAGUUUCAAUUGACGGGAGCGUGAUUAAAUGGCAGAUGGUAGUCUCCUGGUACCAUCGUUUGUCGUGAAUGGCUAACUUGCUCCUCCGGCGAAGCUUAGAAGCUGUGAAUAGGUUUCCGGUGAAACUCAGUUGCAUUUCUACAGUCUACACACGAGUAAGAGAGAUAGAGGUCUCUGUGUUUUGGCUCUUGAAAAGAUAAAUAAAGACGGGGGCUAAAUUUAAAGUUCUAUCCUUCUUUGUUGUUUUCCGACAAUUGUUCCUCCGAUGGUAAGCUCCUCCGAUGGAUAGUUGAAGUAGUCUUAUAAACCGACAGAGCGGUGGUGACGAAAGUGAGGUAUAUGUGUUGCAAUUGCUAAACUAACUUUCCGGAGGCGUAACUGAGAUAUUUAAUGGCAGUUACGCUCACGUUUAGGCUGGAUCUGGAGGGUUAAGGUUCAAGUAUACAAACAUUCUUCAUCAUUGUUUUGUGGAUCCAAUGUAAGACUCUGUUGUUCUCUGACAGGUUCUUAAGUCCUCCGACGAGCUAAGCUUCUCCGACAGCGAACCAGUGGAAUGGGUGGAGUUAAUUUAACUGAUCCAUUCAGCAAGGUGAAGAAAACUGUUCCUGUGUGUGUGAUGUUAGCACUCGUGAAGACCGAUCAUAUCUUGAGAGAUUCCGGCGAAGAUUCAUUGUUUCUAAUCUCCGACGAUGCUGUCUAUUUCUAGUUCAUUUUCCUGCAUAAAGACCGAUAGCACUAGACCUUCUGUUAAUGGAGAUUUCAUGCUUAGGCUGUAAUUGACAUAUACAUUUAAUUUGUAGUAUUUCUAACAAAAGAGUUUAGAGAGAGAUCAAGUGAUCAGUAAAGCUUGGCGAGGAGAUCAUGGGCGGAACCGGGGUUCCUUAUGUUCAUAUGUUCGACUUUUCCGGUUAAGCUAAUCUCGAUAGCGAGGUUCGUAUAGUCGUUCCUGAUUGGACGCGUCAUGAUAUCACCAUUAAUGAGCAUUGAGGGAAACGUUGGUGAGGAGGAUAUUGUGAAUGAUUUUGACCAUUUUGUUCUUCCUUUCAUUUAUUUAUGGUUGUGAGGGAGUAAUUUUCAAAAUGAAUUAUUAACUAUUUAUUUAUUUAUGGUGGUGUAGCGGUUAUAGUUAUAGUUAGUAUUAUGAAAUUGUUCAUGUCAUGUUAGAAUUUGAGACCUGAAAUUUAAGAGACAAAACUUCUACCAAACAAGGAAUUAUCAACUUAUUGUUUUUUCAAAAAUUCAAUAAGUUAAUGGUACUUUAGUUUUACAUUUUUUUCCUUGAAAUGUUCCUUAUCAAAUAUUUUUUCCCAGAG
rnacentral:lncRNA from 1 species